AUUAAACAAAACUAUUGUAAAG
rnacentral:snRNA from 1 species